AGUUGUUGCUGGUCCCUAUACGGGGGCAUGUGCACGCUCUGUUUACACAUCCACUCACACCUGUGCACCCUCUGUAGUUCUAUGGCCUGGGGGGCUCUGUCCUCCUGCUGUGGCUCUACGUCUUUACACACACACUGUAACAAAGUCUCAUGGAAUGUAUGUCGCGUUUAACGCAAUGAAAUACAACUUUCAGCAACGGAUCUCUUGGCUCUCGCAUCGAUGAAGAACGCAGCGAAAUGCGAUAAGUAAUGUGAAUUGCAGAAUUCAGUGAAUCAUCGAAUCUUUGAACGCACCUUGCGCCCUUUGGCUAUUCCGAAGGGCAUGCCUGUUUGAGUAUCAUGAACACCUCAACUCUCAUGGCUUGCCAUGAUGAGCUUGGACUUUGGGGGUCUUGCCGGCUUGUGAGUCGGCUCCUCUCAAAUGAAUCAGCUUGCCAGUGUUUGGUGGCAUCACAGGUGUGAUAACUAUCUACGCUUGUGGUUUUCCACCAGGUAACCUCUAGCAAUGGAGGUUCGCUGGAGCUCACAAUCA
rnacentral:rRNA from 1 species